AUAUCUUCGCCCACCCUGUCCAACGCUUGACGUCUCGUCACCCAAUCUGGUCCCCUACGCCUACACUGAACUUCUCUGUUCCAGACUCUUGGAAACAGAGUUGGCAGUCAGCUGAGGUAAAGAACAAACACCUCAUCACAGACCCCUGCAAGCGUCAACCCGGCUUUGACCUAGCACGUUAUGAUUGGGCCCUCCUCAAUCGCUAUCGAACAGGCCAUGGCCGGUGCACCGCUAUGUUCCAUCGCUGGGGAGCCAGAGUCAACCCGAACUGCCCCUGCGGCUCCAGACAGACUAUGACCCACAUAGUCAAUGACUGCCACCUCUCCAGAUUCAAAGGAGGUCUCGAAACUUUACAUCAGGCUCAACCUGACGCUGUUGACUGGCUACGGAAGAAGGGCAAACGCUAGAAGAAGUAGCCACCAAGUUGCAGAUGCUACCAUGACACCAACCUGACAUCCCUGGGCAGACGAACUCACCAAUGUGCCCUGGAACCCCAUCUCCCCAGAGCCCUACCACACUUGGGAAAGAGAAACAGGCUGGGGGUAUGGAUUAACCUGUCAAUGGCCGUGUCCAGUGGAGAAGCAAUUACAGAAGCCAGACUUUCCAUCUUCUACUUCCCGUAAAGAUCUUUGGUCCAUAUUCCCAGAGGGAUAAAGAACAGGGAAACUUCCAAUGGAGAGGAUGGGAUACAGAACUCUGGUAGUGGGAAUUGUAUGGAAUUAUACCCUUAUCAUAUAAUCGUGUUGAUCAUUAUUAAAUCAAUAUAAAAAAAGGAAAAAUCCUUUUUUAAAAAAAAAUUUCUCCCUCUUUUGAGGGGGAACCAGAGCCUCACACAUGUGUGAUUUCACUAGUUCUGGGUUGCUUUUUUAUUCGGAUAUAAAAACACAGAGAGGGAGAGACCUUAUAGUACCAGAGUUUCCUCUGGUGCUAUUGCAUUUUCCGUGCAAUCCUGUAAUUUAAGCCUAAGCCAUGGAUAUGUCAAGGCAUACCCUGUGAGAUAGCUCUUUGACCUUUUAAAAAAUAUUUAUUUAUUCCCUUUUGUUGCCCCUGUUUUUUUAUUGUUGUUAUUGUUAUUGUUGUUAAUGUCGUCGAUGUUGGAUAGGACAGAGAAAAAUGGAAAGAGGAGGGGAGGAUAGAGAUGGGGAGAGAAAGAAAGAUAUCUGCAGACCUGCUUCACUGCUUGUGAAGCGACUCCCCUGAAGGUGGGGAAACAGGGGCACGAACUGGGAUCCUUACUCUGGUCUGUGCAUUUUGCGCCACCUGUGCUUAACCUGCUGCACUGCUUCCCGACUCCUGCUCUUUGACCUUUUAAGGUAAAUCACUCCAUUAAUAAGUACUUUAUAGUAUACUUAAUAAGUAAUAUACAUAAUACAUACACAUACAUACAUAGCUAUCAGAGUUAUUGCUGGGGAUCAGUGCCUGCAUAACUCUAUUGCUCUUGGCAGUAAUUUUUCCUUUUCUCUAUGCUGAGUAUGAGAAACAAAGAAAUAGCAACAAAAGGGGUGGGGGGGGUUGGGCGGUAGUGCACCAGGUUAAGCGCACAUAGCAAAGCACAAGGACUGUUACAGGGAUCCUGGUUCCAGCACCCUGCUCCCCAUCUGCAGGGGGUCACUUCACAAGCGACGAAGCAGGUCUGCAGGUAUCUUUCUCUCCCCCUCUCUUGUCUUCCCUUUCUCAAUCUCUUUCUGGCCUAUCCAACAACAACAACAACAACAACAGUGACAGUAACAACAAUGGGAAAAAAGAUGGCCCCUAGGAGCAGUAGGCCCCAGUGAUAACUCUGGAGACAAAAAAAAAAAAAAAAAAAGCAACAGAGAACAAGAGGCGUUGCAGUAUUGCUCCACUGCUUAUGAAGCUUCCCUACUGCAGACAAUCCAGGGUCAUGACCAGAAGCUGGAACCUGGGCCUUUCUAUAUGGUAACUUGUGUGCUUGAUUGGAUGAACCACCUGCUGGCCCCCAGCAUGUUUAUUAAGUUAAAUUAUAGUAAAAGUAAAAAUUAAUUAAUUUUUAGUUAUUGCCACUUGUGUUAUGGCUAAGACUUGGUGCCUACAGGAUGAACCCAGCACUUCUGGUGGUUAUUUUUUCCUUUGUUCUGUUUUUUUCUUUCUUUUAUUUCAUAGGAGGAGAAGGAGAUAGAUAGAUAGAAAGGUAGAUAGAUAGAUAGAUAGAUAGAUAUAAAUCUGAAGCAAUGCCUCAUGCUUGUGAAGCUUCCCCCCUGUUGAUGUGAACUGGGAUCUUGAAUCUAGGUCCUUGCAUAUGGUAAUAUGUGUACUCUACUGGGUAUACUACUACCCAUGCACAAUAUUAAUAUAAAAUACAAAUAUUAAUCAUCAUUCAUUAAAUGAAUCUAAAGCCCAUGAUGUAUCCAAUUUUCUAGUUAUUUGUAAAAAUAUUUCAUAGUACAUUGACCUGUGAAUGCUUUUAUUACUUUUUUAUUUUUAUUAAUAGUAUGUUACUAGUUUGCAAGAUUACAAUGUAUAGUUCCAAUCAUGCCCACCACCAGAGUUCUGUACCCUUACCUUCCUACCUCUCAAAGAUAACCAUCAUAGUUCUCAGAAGUCUUAAAAAUUAGUUUACUUGCUUCUAGUUGUCCUUCAUCUCUUUAUUUAUUUAGAUAAGCAUAAUCAGCUCCAGUUUUAUCCAUUUUAUCCCAAAGGACACAGUGAUAUCUUUUUUCACUGCAGAGUAGCAUUCCAGGAAAUAUAUAUCCUGGAAUGGAUAUAAGUUCUUUAGCCAGUCAUCUGAUGAUGGGCAUUUAGGCUGCUUCCACACUUUGACUAUUGUCAACAGUGUAGUUAUGUACAUAAGGGUGCACAUGUCUCUUCUAAUUAGUGUUUUGAGUGCCCACUGCAUAAAUGCCCAAGAUUGGUAUUGCUGGAUCAUAAGGUAAUUCUAUUUUUAUUUGUUUAAGGACUCUCCAUACACUCUUCCAAAGGAGCUGUACCAGUUUUCAUUCCCACCAGCAAUAUAGCAGUUCCUUUUUCUACACAACCUCUCCAACACCUGUGAUUUCCUGGUUUAUUGAUGUAUCUAUCAUUCUUUCAGGUGUGAGAUGGUAAUUUGCAUUUCUCUAAUGAUAAAUGAAGUGGGACAUCUUUUUUCAUGUGUCUGUGGGUCAUGUGUAUCUCUUCUUUAGAAAAUUGUUUAGCUAUUUGGUCCACCUUUUUAUUGGUUUAUUUUUGCUUCUUUUGUAGAUCUGUACCAACUCUGUAUAGAUGUUUGAUACCAGUUGCUUAUCUGAUGUGUGAUAUGAAAAAUAUCUUCUUCCAUUUACUGGGUUUCCUGGUUAUCCUUGUGUAGUCUGAUUUUGAUAUGUAGAAGAUUUUUUAUGUUUCAUAUAAUCCAGUUUGUUUACUCUUGUAUUGAUUUCCUACUCUCAGGGGGUUGAGUCUCCAAAUACAUCUUUGGUGUGAAAGUCCUGCAAAACUUCAACAUUUUCUUCUAGAAAUUUUAGAGUUUCUGGUCUAAUUAUCUAGAUCUUUAAUCCUUUUUGCUUUGACCUUGGUGUAUGGUAGUAGGUAGUGGUGUAGAUUCACUUUUCUAUAUUUAUACAUGUGUAUAAAUUAUUUUAUUUUACUGUCAUCUGUAAAUAUUAAUCCCCCAAUAAAUAAAAAAACAAAA